GAUGAACGCUCGCGGCGUGCCUAAUACAUGCAAGUCGAGCGAACAGACGAGGAGCUUGCUCCUUUGACGUUAGCGGCGGACGGGUGAGUAACACGUGGAUAACCUACCUAUAAGACUGGGAUAACUUCGGGAAACCGGAGCUAAUACCGGAUAACAUGUUGAACCGCAUGGUUCAACAGUGAAAGACGGUCUUGCUGUCACUUAUAGAUGGAUCCGCGCCGUAUUAGCUAGUUGGUAAGGUAACGGCUUACCAAGGCAACGAUGCGUAGCCGACCUGAGAGGGUGAGCGGCCACACUGGAACUGAGACACGGUCCAGACUCCUACGGGAGGCAGCAGUAGGGAAUCUUCCGCAAUGGGCGAAAGCCUGACGGAGCAACGCCGCGUGAGUGAAGAAGGUCUUCGGAUCGUAAAACUCUGUUAUUAGGGAAGAACAAAUGUGUAAGUAACUAUGCACGUCUUGACGGUACCUAAUCAGAAAGCCACGGCUAACUACGUG
rnacentral:rRNA from 1 species